UACAGAGGUCUCAAGCGUUGUUCGGAUUCAUUGGGCGUAAAGGGUGUGUAGGUGGCGCGCUAAGUCGGGUGUGAAAUUUCGGAGCUUAACUCCGAAACUGCAUUCGAUACUGGCGUGCUUGAGGACUGGAGAGGAGACUGGAAUUCAUGGUGUAGCAGUGAAAUGCGUAGAGAUCAUGAGGAAGACCAGUGGCGAAGGCGGGUCUCUGGACAGUUCCUGACACUGAAGCACGAAAGCGUGGGUCGCGAAUGGG
rnacentral:rRNA from 1 species